rnacentral:rRNA from 1 species
ACUAGAGUGUGUCAGAGGGAGGUAGAAUUCCACGUGUAGCAGUGAAAUGCGUAGAGAUGUGGAGGAAUACCGAUGGCGAAGGCAGCCUCCUGGGAUAACACUGACGUUCAUGCCCGAAAGCGUGGGUAGCAAACAGGAUUAGAUACCCUGGUAGUCCACGCCCUAAACGAUGUCGAUUAGCUGUUGGGCAGCAUGACUGCUUAGUAGCGAAGCUAACGCGUGAAAUCGACCGCCUGGGGAGUACGGUCGCAAGAUUAAAACUCAAAGGAAUUGACGGGGACCCGCACAAGCGGUGGAUGAUGUGGAUUAAUUCGAUGCAACGCGAAGAACCUUACCUGGUCUUGACAUGUACGGAGCCCUCCAGAGACGGAGGGGUGCCUUCGGGAGCCGUAACACAGGUGCUGCAUGGCUGUCGUCAGCUCGUGUCGUGAGAUGUUGGGUUAAGUCCCGCAACGAGCGCAACCCUUGUCAUUAGUUGCCAUCAUUAAGUUGGGCACUCUAAUGAGACUGCCGGUGACAAGCCGGAGGAAGGUAGGGAUGACGUCAAGUCCUCGUGGCCCUUAUGACCAGGGCUUCACACGUCAUACAAUGGUCGGUACAGAGGGUAGCCAAGCCGCGAGGUGGAGCCAAUCUCACAAAACCGAUCGUAGUCCGGAUUGCACUCUGCAACUCGAGUGCAUGAAGUCGGAAUCGCUAGUAAUCGCAGGUCAGCAUACUGCGGUGAAUACGUUCCCGGGUCUUGUACACACCGCCCGUCACACCAUGGGAGUGGGGGAUACCAGAAGUAGGUAGGGUAACCGCAAGGAGCCCGCUUACCACGGUAUGCUUCAUGACUGGGGUGAAGUCGUAACAAGGUAACC